rnacentral:lncRNA from 1 species
AAUUCUCAAAAUUGAUGUUGGAUUCCAAUCUUUUGGGAUUCUUCUUCUCGGAUCUGUUUAUCCUUGAGGAUAUGAGCUUGUGGCUCUAUUUUCAGAUCGAUCAGAUUUGUCUCGAUGUGUUUUGGCUAAUUUCCUUGCAAAAAUCAGCCUGUUGUUUUGUUCUCUAUUCAGUAUGCAAAAAUGAUCUCACUUGCGGAGGUACUCUCUAGCGUUGCAGUGAUU